rnacentral:misc_RNA from 1 species
GAUGAAGAACGUAGCGAAAUGCGAUAAGUAAUGUGAAUUGCAGAAUUCAGUGAAUCAUCGAAUCUUUGAACGCACCUUGCACCCUUUGGUAUUCCGAAGGGUAUGCUCGUUUGAGUGUCAUUGUACUCUCACACUUCUAAUUCCUUUCGGGAUUGGGAGCGGUGGACUUGGGUGUUGCUGCUUUAGUUGUGGCUCACCUCAAAUAAGUUAGUGCAACUCUUGGUUGGACAUAGUACGGCGUGAUAAGUGUCUUCGCCGGCGCCUCUGUAAGGAGGGUGGCCGAUCGGGAGCUCUGUGCUUCAAACCGUCUUCGGACAAUCUUUGACAACUUGACCUCAAAUCGAGUAGGACUACCCGCUGAACUUAAGCAUAUCGAUAAGCGGAGGA